AGCAGCCGCGGUAAUUCCAGCUCCAAUAGCGUAUAUUAAAGUUGUUGCAGUUAAAAAGCUCGUAGUUGAAUUUUGGAUUCUGCCAGUUGGUCCAUCUUUUGAUGAGUACUGAUUGUGUGGGGUCUAUCCGCCUGGUGAUACGUAAUGUACUUUAUUGUAUGUUGCGGGUAGUCAGGACCUUUACCUUGAAAAAUUAGAGUGUUUAAAGCAGGCUUAUGCCGGAAUACAUUAGCAUGGAAUAAUAGAAUAGGACGAUGUUGUUUUAUUUUGUUGGUUUCUAGGACAACCGUAAUGAUUAAUAGGGAUAGUUGGGGGCAUUAGUAUUCAAUUGUCAGAGGUGAAAUUCUUGGAUUUAUUGAAGACUAACUACUGCGAAAGCAUUUGCCAAGGAUGUUUUCAUUAAUCAAGAACGAAAGUUAGGGGAUCGAAGACGAUCAGAUACCGUCGUAGUCUUAACCAUAAACUAUACCGACUAGGGAUCGGGCGAUGUUGUUUCAAUGACUCGCUCGGCACCUUAUA
rnacentral:rRNA from 1 species